rnacentral:rRNA from 1 species
AGUGAACGCUGGCGGUAGGCCUAACACAUGCAAGUCGAACGGCCGCACAGUAAGCGCUUGCUCUUACGGGUGGCGAGUGGCGGACGGGUGAGGAAUACAUCGGAAUCUACUUUUUCGUGGGGGAUAACGUAGGGACACUUACGCUAAUACCGCAUACGACCUACGGGUGAAAGCAGGGGUUCUUCGGACUUUGCGCGAUUGAAUGAGCCGAUGUCGGAUUAGCUAGUUGGCGGGGUAAAGGCCCACCAAGGCGACGAUGCGUAGCUGGUCUGAGAGGAUGAUCAGCCACACUGGAACUGAGACACGGUCCAGACUCCUACGGGAGGCAGCAGUGGGGAAUAUUGGGCAAAGGGCGCAAGCCUGAUCCAGCCAUGCCGCGUGAGUGAAGAAGGCCUUCGGGUUGUAAAGCCCUGUUGUUGGGAAAGAAAAGCAGCAGGUGAAUACCCCGCUGUUCUGACGGUACCCAAAGAGUAAGCACCGGCUAACUUCGUG